CUAUACUUCCAAAAGAUCAAAAACCCCAUAUCCAAAAACUUCAAAGAAGUUAGAAAAAAAUGGCUCAAACCACAUGUUGGGUCAUAAUAUUUCUUCUAUUUGGGCUGGGUAGAUUGGGCUCAUUUAUUAAUUUAUUCCAUUAGGCUUUUAUAAUUAAGCCGUGGGGCUUGUUGGGCCCAGUCAUUGUGUUAGCUUUAUUUAAUCCUAUAGGACCGGGUCGGUUCGUUGGAUUAAACCAUUGGGUCAUUUAAUAUCUAUUACUUUGACUUGUAAUGAUGAUAUAGCAUGACAGUUGACCGAGAUAUCUGCCAUGCAUUAAUGUGGAUGGGAUUAUAGCCAGCCGGCGGUGUAAACAGUGGCCAAAAGCAAUGGAUAAGCUCCAUGCAGUCGGCAGAACCCAUCAGAUCAGGGGGAUAUGUCAGAUGGUAAUGGGUGGCACAGUAAUCCAGGCUAAGAUAUUAUUUCUUGGCAAGUAAGUCUUCACAAGGAGGUACGUUUUUCAUAUAUUCACAGACACACAACUGAUAUUAGGCAUAAUCUCUCAACACACUAGAUUUUUAUUAUCCUCUCGACUUAACCUUGUGAACAGACAUACUUACUCUCACGCCUGAGCUAU
rnacentral:lncRNA from 1 species